rnacentral:rRNA from 2 species
UUAAUUUGAGAGUUUGAUCCUGGCUCAGGACGAACGCUGGCGGCGUGCCUAAUACAUGCAAGUCGAACGAACUCUGGUAUUGAUUGGUGCUUGCAUCAUGAUUUACAUUUGAGUGAGUGGCGAACUGGUGAGUAACACGUGGGAAACCUGCCCAGAAGCGGGGGAUAACACCUGGAAACAGAUGCUAAUACCGCAUAACAACUUGGACCGCAUGGUCCGAGUUUGAAAGAUGGCUUCGGCUAUCACUUUUGGAUGGUCCCGCGGCGUAUUAGCUAGAUGGUGGGGUAACGGCUCACCAUGGCAAUGAUACGUAGCCGACCUGAGAGGGUAAUCGGCCACAUUGGGACUGAGACACGGCCCAAACUCCUACGGGAGGCAGCAGUAGGGAAUCUUCCACAAUGGACGAAAGUCUGAUGGAGCAACGCCGCGUGAGUGAAGAAGGGUUUCGGCUCGUAAAACUCUGUUGUUAAAGAAGAACAUAUCUGAGAGUAACUGUUCAGGUAUUGACGGUAUUUAACCAGAAAGCCACGGCUAACUACGUGCCAGCAGCCGCGGUAAUAGGUGGCAAGCGUUGUCCGGAUUUAUUGGGCGUAAAGCGAGCGCAGGCGGUUUUUUAAGUCUGAUGUGAAAGCCUUCGGCUCAACCGAAGAAGUGCAUCGGAAACUGGGAAACUUGAGUGCAGAAGAGGACAGUGGAACUCCAUGUGUAGCGGUGAAAUGCGUAGAUAUAUGGAAGAACACCAGUGGCGAAGGCGGCUGUCUGGUCUGUAACUGACGCUGAGGCUCGAAAGUAUGGGUAGCAAACAGGAUUAGAUACCCUGGUAGUCCAUACCGUAAACGAUGAAUGCUAAGUGUUGGAGGGUUUCCGCCCUUCAGUGCUGCAGCUAACGCAUUAAGCAUUCCGCCUGGGGAGUACGGCCGCAAGGCUGAAACUCAAAGGAAUUGACGGGGGCCCGCACAAGCGGUGGAGCAUGUGGUUUAAUUCGAAGCUACGCGAAGAACCUUACCAGGUCUUGACAUACUAUGCAAAUCUAAGAGAUUAGACGUUCCCUUCGGGGACAUGGAUACAGGUGGUGCAUGGUUGUCGUCAGCUCGUGUCGUGAGAUGUUGGGUUAAGUCCCGCAACGAGCGCAACCCUUAUUAUCAGUUGCCAGCAUUAAGUUGGGCACUCUGGUGAGACUGCCGGUGACAAACCGGAGGAAGGUGGGGAUGACGUCAAAUCAUCAUGCCCCUUAUGACCUGGGCUACACACGUGCUACAAUGGAUGGUACAACGAGUUGCGAACUCGCGAGAGUAAGCUAAUCUCUUAAAGCCAUUCUCAGUUCGGAUUGUAGGCUGCAACUCGCCUACAUGAAGUCGGAAUCGCUAGUAAUCGCGGAUCAGCAUGCGCGGUGAAUACGUUCCCGGGCCUUGUACACACCGCCCGUCACACCAUGAGAGUUUGUAACACCCAAAGUCGGUGGGGUAACCUUUUAGGAACCAGCCGCCUAAGGUGGGACAGAUGAUUAGGGUGAAGUCGUAACAAGGUAGCCGUAGGAGAACCUGCGGCUGGAUCACCUCCUUUCUAAGGAA